rnacentral:rRNA from 1 species
GGGAAUAUUGCACAAUGGGCGCAAGCCUGAUGCAGCCAUGCCGCGUGUGUGAAGAAGGCCUUCGGGUUGUAAAGCACUUUCAGUCGUGAGGAAGGUGGUAGUGUUAAUAGCACUAUCAUUUGACGUUCGCGACAGAAGAAGCACCGGCUAACUCCGUGCCAGCAGCCGCGGUAAUACGGAGGGUGCGAGCGUUAAUCGGAAUUACUGGGCGUGAAGCGCAUGCAGGUGGUUUGUUAAGUCGGAUGUGAAAGCCCGGGGCUCAACCUCGGAAUAGCAUUUGAAACUGGCAGACUAGAGUACUGUAGAGGGGGGUAGAAUUUCAGGUGUAGCGGUGAAAUGCGUAGAGAUCUGAAGGAAUACCGGUGGCGAAGGCGGCCCCCUGGACAGAUACUGACACUCAGAUGCGAAAGCGUGGGGAGCAAACAGG